CACACACAUACAUACAUACAGAGACACACACACACAGACACAGACAUAUACAUUCAGACACAUACAUACACACAACGCAUACAUACAAAUAGACAGACAGGCACAAAGACACACACAUAACACACAUACAGACAGACACACACACACACAAGACACACAUACAUACAAACAGACAUGCACACAUACAUACAGAUACAUACAGACAGACAGACACACACACACACACACACACAAAGACAUACAUACAAUGACACAUACAAACAGACAGGCACACAUACAUACAAACAGAUAGACACAGACACAUACAUACAAA